UACGGAGGGUGCGAGCGUUGUCCGGAAUCACUGGGCGUAAAGGGCGCGUAGGCGGCCUGAUAAGUAGGGGGUGAAAUCCUGCGGCUUAACCGCAGGGCUGCCUUCUAAACUGUCAGGCUCGAGCACAGUAGAGGCAGGUGGAAUUCCCGGUGUAGCGGUGGAAUGCGUAGAGAUCGGGAAGGACAUCAGUGGCGAAGGCGGCCUGCUGGGCUGUUGCUGACGCUGAGGCGCGACAGCGUGGGGAGCAAACAGG
rnacentral:rRNA from 1 species